rnacentral:rRNA from 1 species
UACGAAGGGGGCUAGCGCUGUGCGGAUUUACUGGGCGUAAAGCGCAUGUAGGCGGGGCGUUAAGUUGGGGGUGAAAUCCCGAGGCUCAACCUCGGAACUGCCUUCAAAACUGGCGACCUGGAGCAAGAUAGAGGCAAGUGGAAUUGCGAGUGUAGAGGUGAAAUUCGUAGAUAUUCGCAGGAACACAAGUGGCGAAGGCGACUUGCUGGAUCUUUGCUGACGCUGAGAUGCGAAAGCGUGGGGAGCAAACAGG